rnacentral:tRNA from 1 species
GGGGUUAUAGCUCAGCCGGUUAGAGCGCAUCCCUGAUAAGGAUGAGGUCCGUGGUUCGAGUCCACGUAACCCCACCA